rnacentral:rRNA from 1 species
CAGUCGACGUUACAGGAAGCAGCUUGCUUCUUUGCUGACGAGUGGCGGACGGGUGAGUAAUGUCUGGGAAACUGCCUGAUGGAGGGGGAUAACUACUGGAAACGGUAGCUAAUACCGCAUAACGUCGCAAGACCAAAGAGGGGGACCUUCGGGCCUCUUGCCAUCGGAUGUGCCCAGAUGGGAUUAGCUAGUAGGUGGGGUAACGGCUCACCUAGGCGACGAUCCCUAGCUGGUCUGAGAGGAUGACCAGCCACACUGGAACUGAGACACGGUCCAGACUCCUACGGGAGGCAGCAGUGGGGAAUAUUGCACAAUGGGCGCAAGCCUGAUGCAGCCAUGCCGCGUGUAUGAAGAAGGCCUUCGGGUUGUAAAGUACUUUCAGCGGGGAGGAAGGGAGUAAAGUUAAUACCUUUGCUCAUUGACGUUACCCGCAGAAGAAGCACCGGCUAACUCCGUGCCAGCAGCCGCGGUAAUACGGAGGGUGCAAGCGUUAAUCGGAAUUACUGGGCGUAAAGCGCACGCAGGCGGUUUGUUAAGUCAGAUGUGAAAUCCCCGGGCUCAACCUGGGAACUGCAUCUGAUACUGGCAAGCUUGAGUCUCGUAGAGGGGGGUAGAAUUCCAGGUGUAGCGGUGAAAUGCGUAGAGAUCUGGAGGAAUACCGGUGGCGAAGGCGGCCCCCUGGACGAAGACUGACGCUCAGGUGCGAAAGCGUGGGGAGCAAACGGGAUUAUACACCCUGGUAGUCCACGCCGUAAACGAUGUCGACUUGGAGGUUGUGCCCUUGAGGCGUGGCUUCCGGAGCUAACGCGUUA